GCUUUCCGUCAAGUUUUGGGCAACAAAUUUCUCUUAGAACUCAACUCCGAUAGAAUUUGUGAAAAAAUAAAAAUGGCGGUAGUGGUAAAAAGGAAUUGAGUUGUGCUUAGUCUUUGUGAAUCACUUUCCCUAUUUCCCCUCACCCAAAAACUUGUCUCUGAGGAGUAAAAAUUACGACUAUUUAUAUGCAAAUUCGAACUUGAAAGUUUGGAUUUGAAACCAAAAUUCGAAGAGUCCAACAGGCAAAAUAAAAGGGGGAAAUCGGAAUUCAAAAAAAUUGAAAAGAACAAAACCCUCUUCAAAUUUGAAUGAUUUUUUAUUAUUUAAGGCGGACUUGAAAUUGAUUUUCUGUCGUAGCAUCGAUUCAUGUCUAUUUUUGCUGCCAAGGGAGAAAUUACAGGUUGAAAAAACGAAAUUAAGGCGAAUCUUUACCGGUGUGGGCAGCUAUGGUGGUGCAAAUAGGUUUCUUGUUUGGUGAUUGUAGUGGAGAGGAGGAGGAGAGAAGGGAUAAGGUCAUUUGGUUUUACUGUAUUUGUGGAAAUUUGAAGGGACA
rnacentral:lncRNA from 1 species